UUCUAUAAUCCUCUCUCUUCUCUUAUCUUAUCUGUAUCUGCAGUACUCCUUCGGAAACCUUCCGUUUCUUCUCUCUCACAACUUAAUCGCUCUCUAUGUUUCAGUCGAUUUUUUUCCUCAAUCAUAACAAUAAGUCAAUUGUGAAUCAGUAUAUGGUUUUUCUUCCUCUUAUUCUUCAAAUAGGUCUAUUAAAUUCUUACACCUAUAGUUUUGAGAUUCCUUAAACCGAAUCAGUAUGAAGAAAUCUAAGAUUCUGGAGAGAUUUCUCUAUUUCACGAGGUUGGUUUGUAUUGAAAAGGGUUUUGAAUGAACGUCUUCAACAACUUCUAAGUUUGUGUUGCCGGGCUCUGAUUUCCUGCUGACUUAUUGGAUCACUCUUCUAUUCAGCGAGAACCACCUGUGAGUGACGAUUCUGUUGCUUGCAUCAGUGGAUGUAAGCAUAUGUCAGAGGUAGUGAAUUGAGAUCUUGGACUAAGUUCAGAGCUGAAGGCUAGAACAUAAGGAUUUGUGGAUAUAGACCAAGAAGGAAGCACAAGAGGAGGGAAUUACUUGCACCUGGUUAAUCUAGUUCCGUGGAAAGUAUUUUGGAAUACCCCAUUAUGACAUUUAAUGUUGUUGACUUUGGAAUUUGGGAAGGUUCAAUAAUAGUCGUGGCCGACGAAGCUGGUGAUUUGCCAUACUUGGGAAGAUUUUCUCAUAGUCAUAUCUUCUUUUUAGAUUAUCGUUGUGCGUAACUACUUGAUAUAAAUUUCAAAAAAUAUUUUCAUGUCUUUUCUUGUCAAAUUCUUGAUACAGGGGUUGAUCAAUGUUCCCUAUGUGUUAAUAGAGAAAGUUUUGCUUUAAUCUCUAAUAGCCCAACCUAGAAAAUCUGGAACAACUUUGAGUUUUGAUUUUGAUAUCAUCAGUCUAACAGUCUUGGUCAGAUUUAUGUUUAGAAACUGUAGAAUAUUACAGGACUGUUGUUAUGGAUUCCUUCUAUAUAGGUUUCAAUUAAUGAUGACAAACAUUGUAGCUAAGAAGUGGCAUCCGUUAAAUUUGGUGUAUACAUAUUUUCAUCCAUCAAUUCCUAGUCCAGUCACCUGUAAAUAGUAGAUUUUUACUGAAAUCCGUUAGAGAAAUAUUAACACUUCUCAGCUUUGCCCGUUACUGUGCCAAUAACUUGCUAAUGGAACUGUAUCAUGCAGUUCAGAUUACGAAGUUUUCAAAUUUUUUGGGUCUGAUGUGCUAGAGCAUUGUAAUAAGAGAAAACUGACUGUAUAUCUUUGAGGAAGUGUACUGCAGAUAGUGCAAUUAGGUUCUAACUUCUAAGGUCAGGUGGUCUCAACCACUGUUUCUAGGGCAUCAGAGCGGAAUAAGAUAACUAUCAUAGUAUUAUCGGAAACUGUUUUGAUAUUAGUCUUGGUCAAAACUUAAGUUUACAACUAUCGGAAAUUUACUGACACACUGAUAUUGAUUACUAUAAUGUAGUUCUCAAGGUUGUUAGCGUUGACAACAAGUAAUGAUGAUGCAUACUCUAAUCCUCAUCUAUGUUAUGACGUGGGCUUGAAAAUGUUGGAUCGAUAACCUAAAUUGUGAUUAACUUAUGGAUUUACGAGGCAGUGUCAGGGGAGGACAAUGGCCCCUGCAUUGUAGUGCAGUUCAAUUUUAAACUCAAUUCAUAGAAUGAAAUUGUGAGAUGAAUUAGCUUGUUGUAGCUCUGGGAUCAGGUUAUGAAAUGAAAAAAUCAUGUCACUGUUGGGGGGAAUUUCCCUUGGGGUUGUAGUUUAGUUUUUAGCCUACUUUCUAGCAUCAACUGUGAAAUGUUGACGGUCAAUUAUUCUACUUUUGGAUUUAGCCGCUCACGUCUGAAUUUGUGAACAACCAUGCCCUUUUCUAGCGAAGACGCAGUAUUGUAUCAUGUUUUCCUCAAGUUGUUUAUUACUUAACUUGAUUUCUUUUUUCUUUCUGUCAAUUGUCUCAAUUCCAUGUAUUGAACUGAUGCGCUACUUAAUGUUACCUUCUUAAGAGAUCUUUUAAAUGCUCUAUUGUGUUUGUAGGGGAAGAUGUUUCUCCUGGAUUAAGAAAAGGUGGAAUUAAACUUUGAUCAUGUAAAUGGUAAUGGAUGCAGCUAUGAACCUCUCUACGUGUGUCAAUUGGCAAGUUUGAUGGAUAAUUAGGAUCUCAAUUGGUGAACUUAGGGAUGGAGUAAUGGACCUGAUUAGAGCUAGUUUUCCAGAAGGAUGAAGACAUGGAUGGUGAAGUCUCGCCUUCAUGUUUUGAAGACACGAUGGUGAAGUCUUACCUUCAUGUUUUGAAACUUUAGGAUUGUAAAGCCUGUAGUAGGAACAUGGGUUAAGGUUUUCCAACUUAGUGUUAGAUAUUUUUUUUCAGACUUGGAACUCGCAGUAUUUACGUAGUUGAAAUUGUAAACUGAAUUCACUUUCAAUACCAGAGUUUUAAAGUCCUAUCAAUUUAAUUUUGUGAAAGUCGGUUUUGAAG